GGAGUAAUCCGCUAUGAGAUGGACCCGCGUCGCAUUAGCUAGUUGGUAAGGUAACGGCUCACCAAGGCGACGAUGCGUAGCCGACCUGAGAGGGUGAUCGGCCACAUUGGGACUGAGACACGGCCCAGACUCCUACGGGAGGCAGCAGUGGGGAAUAUUGCACAAUGGGGGAAACCCUGAUGCAGCAACGCCGCGUGAGUGAUGACGGUCUUCGGAUCGUAAAGUUCUGUCGCAGGGGAAGAUAAUGACGGUACCAGAGGAGGAAGCCACGGCUAACUAC
rnacentral:rRNA from 1 species